rnacentral:rRNA from 1 species
CAGUAGCCGCGGGAAUACGUAGGGUGCGAGCGUUGUCCGGAAUUACUGGGCGUAAAGAGCUCGUAGGCGGUUUGUCGCGUCGUCUGUGAAAUUCUGCAGCUUAACUGUAGGCGUGCAGGCGAUACGGGCAGACUUGAGUACUACAGGGGAGACUGGAAUUCCUGGUGUAGCGGUGAAAUGCGCAGAUAUCAGGAGGAACACCGGUGGCGAAGGCGGGUCUCUGGGUAGUAACUGACGCUGAGGAGCGAAAGCGUGGGUAGCGAACAGGAUUAGAUACCCCGGUAGUCCCUGUCUCUUAUAC